AGCUUUGCGCAGUGGCAGUAUCGUAGCCAAUGAGGUUUAUCCGAGGCGUGAUUAUUGCUAAUUGAAAAAUUAUGAGUCUGAGUCAAAUAGGGUCUUGAGAAUGGGGGAUCAGAAAUUUAAGGUCAUCCUUGUUUAUAUAGUGUGUCUGAGGCUGUUCUGUGCCAUAGGA